AACUUUUGGCAACGGAUCUCGUGGCUCUCGCAUCGAUGAAGAACACAGCGAAAUGCGAUAAGUAUUGUGAAUUGCAGAAUUCAGUGAAGCAUCGAAUCUUUGAACGCACCUUGCACCCUUUGGUAUCCCCAAAGGGUAUGCUCGUUUGAGUACCAUUGUACCCUCACACUUCUUUUCCUUUGGACUGGGAGCGGUGGACUUGGGUGUUGCUGCUUGACCGCGGCUCACCCGAAAUGCAUUAGUGCAUCUCCUGGUUGGACAUAGUACGGCGUGAUAAGUAUCUUCGCCGGCACCUCACCUCAGAGGGUGGCUGAUCAGGGGCCCUGUGCUUUCGAACCGUCUUCGGACAAUGACUGACAACUUGGUCUCAAAUCGAGUAGGACUACCCGCUGAACUUAAGCAUAUCAAUAAGCGGAGGGU
rnacentral:misc_RNA from 1 species